AUUGAACGCUGGCGGCAUGCUUUACACAUGCAAGUCGAACGGCAGCGCGGGCUUCGGCCUGGCGGCGAGUGGCGAACGGGUGAGUAAUGCAUCGGAACGUGCCCAGUAGUGGGGGAUAGCCCGGCGAAAGCCGGAUUAAUACCGCAUACGACCUGAGGGUGAAAGCGGGGGACCGAAAGGCCUCGCGCUAUUGGAGCGGCCGAUGUCGGAUUAGCUAGUUGGUGGGGUAAAGGCUUACCAAGGCGACGAUCCGUAGCUGGUCUGAGAGGACGACCAGCCAAAGUGGGACUGAGACACGGCCCAGACUCCUACGGGAGGCAGCAGUGGGGAAUUUUGGACAAUGGGGGCAACCCUGAUCCAGACAUGCCGCGUGCGGGAAGAAGGCCUUCGGGUUGUAAACCGCUUUUGUUCGGGAAGAAAUCCUCUGGGCUAAUACCCCGGGGGGAUGACGGUACCGGAAGAAUAAGCACCGGCUAACUACGUG
rnacentral:rRNA from 1 species